AGUGAACGCUGGCGGUAGGCCUAACACAUGCAAGUCGAACGGCAGCACAGUAAGAGCUUGCUCUUACGGGUGGCGAGUGGCGGACGGGUGAGGAAUACAUCGGAAUCUACUUUUUCGUGGGGGAUAACGUAGGGAAACUUACGCUAAUACCGCAUACGACCUACGGGUGAAAGCAGGGGAUCUUCGGACCUUGCGCGAUUGAAUGAGCCGAUGUCGGAUUAGCUAGUUGGCGGGGUAAAGGCCCACCAAGGCGACGAUCCGUAGCCGGUCUGAGAGGAUGAUCAGCCACACUGGAACUAGAACACCGUCCAGACUCCUACGGGAGGCAGCAGUAGGGAAUAUUGGACAAUGGGCGGAAGCCUGAUCCAACCAUACCGCGUGUGUGAAGAAGGCCUUCGGGUUGUAAAGCCCUUUUGUUGGGAAAGAAAAGCAGCAGGUUAAUACCCCGCUGUUCUGACGGUACCCAAAGAAUAAGCACCGGCUAACUUCGUG
rnacentral:rRNA from 1 species